AUGUCGUCUCACUUCGUAGAACAGCCACCGCCCCCGCACAACAACAAUAACUGUGAGGAAGGCGAACAGUCUCUAACAUCGCCUGCCGGCCUCAACAGUUCCUGGGUGGAGCUCCCCAUGAACAACAGCAUUGGAAAUGAUAAUGGAAAUGGGAAGAAUGGGGGGCUAGAGCAUGUACCCUCCUCAUCCUCCAUUCACAAUGGGGACAUGGAGAAGAUUCUUUUGGAUGCACAGCAUGAAUCCGGACAGAGCAGUUCAAGAGGCAGUUCUCAUUGCCAGCCCUUCCCCACAAGAAGAUGGGCAGAUCAUAUUUGAUGUGGAAAUGCACACCAGCAAGGACCAUAGCUCUCAGUCAGAAGAAGUUGCAGAAAGAGAAAAAGAAGUGGAUGCUCUGAAGAAAAGUGUAGACUGGGUGUCUGACUGGUCCAGUAGACCUGAAAACAUUCCACCCAAGGAGUUCCACUUCAGGCACCCUAAGCAUUCCGUUUCCUUAAGCAUGAGGAAAAGUGGAGCCAUGAAGAAAGGGGGGAUCUUCUCCGCAGAGUUUCUCAAGAUGUUCAUUCCAUCUCUCUUCCUCUCCCAUGUUUUGGCUUUGGGGCUAGGCAUCUACAUUGGAAAACGACUGAGCGCGCCUUCUGCCAGCACCUACUAAGGGAGGAGAAGAGUCCCUGGGCCAGCGUGUGAAUUGUGAAGUCGUGUCUUGUCACAGUAGUUUAUUUGAACUUGAGACCAUUGUAAGCAUGACCCAACCUCCACCCUCUUUUUACGUAUCCAAGUUCCAGUAACUCUCAAAUCUAGUAUUUUAUUCCAACUCUGUUGAGGCAUUUUACUAAUACCCUCAUUCCCUUUUUGGCCUGUAAAACACUUUCAAAUUUCCUAAUAAGAGUUUACUGUCAUUUAGAAAUUUGCAAGGGCUUCUUUUCUGCAAACACCACCAGCAGAUUGUAAUUUUGUCAAGAAUGCCAUUGUCUUCUCUCCAUACUACCAGACCUAGACCUGCACCAUUCAUGGUAUAAAUCUUACUCUUACAAGAUAACCCACCUGUCUCUUCAAAUGAGACCAGGUUGCAAAUGAUAUGAAAGCUUUGUUGUUUUGUUUUUCAAGACAAAGGCAAGCUUCCCUAAGCUUGAAUUUAUAGUUAUGAAAAAAGAAAACAAAAACAAAUAAAACAGACAAAAUAUAACACUAGGAAAAAAAUAUCCUGGGCAAUAAAAAGUUAUUAAAAAAAAAGA